AUGCUCGCUGGGAUCCGAGCCCCGAGCGCUGGGAAACAGGUUGCCGCGGAGUCCGAUCCCCUCCCCCUCUGCCGUCCCGCUGCGACCCGAUUCCCGCCCUGCCCCGGGAGCGAACCCAGCCGCCUCCGGGGCGCCCUCCUUCUUCCUGGAUUCCCGCGGCUGGGCCGGAGCCCCUCUGGCAGCUGGGUUAAAGGCUCCUGCGGCAAGGUCAAGGCGCGGCCGGCUGGCACCUGGGGAUUUUUUUUCCAGCGGCGCACUGGCUUUGCAAUCGCAUUGUUAAGGAUCAUGGCAGCGGCAGGAAAUCCGAAGGGCCCCACAGCCCAUCAACGUGAUACAGGCUGCGGCGCUGGAGGGAAGCGGAAAAACAGGGGAAUAAACGCAACAGAAACAAACUGCUGUCUGCAGAGGGGAGAGGCGAGGGGACCGAAGCCAUACCCGGCACCCAGCCCCAUCCCGUCCCCAUCAGCGCCGGGCUGGCGCAGAAAACCAGGAAUAGGUGCACGUUUAAGGGUAGCUGCCCCGGCAGAGCUAGGGUUCUACUGCUUCUAACCCCUCGUUAGCGUGGGCCUGGAUGGCUAGGCUGCCUGGGCAUCUCCAAGGCGGACCAGGCACCGCAGGUAGGCAGGUUUCUAAACACGUGAAAGGUAUAGGGUGUGAGAGGGGAGAAGGGGCACCAGGACGGGCGGAGAAGAGGGGCUUUGGGGCUCCCCAGGAUGCAAAGUCAGUUUCUGAAAACCGCGUUCCCUGGAAGGCCUUCCAACACCCCCGAGAGAAGACUUAGAGCUCAGAAGGCUCAAUGAAACCUGAGUUCUGACCGACUCCUCCUCUGAGAUCAAUUCCGGAUGCCCCCAUCUGGUCCCUGCCUCGGUAACGGGUUCUUUGAGGACAGUAGCAUCGGUACCUUAUGCCCAUCGCACAAGCGGGCGCCGUGGUAAGAGGCGUAUCCUAGCUACCCAGGCCCAGGGUGGGGGGCGCCCCAGUACUUACACUGCUCAAGCAGGCAAACUUUCAGGCUUGUCUUUCGAGAACUGGGAGCUCGCAUCACAGUUCCGGGUAAUCACCGAGGCAGCUUAUGUAAUUGCACGCGAUGCCGUUCGGCAGAUCUCUCCUUACGCGGCCUCAGAGCUCAGUACAUGGGCACCCUCUUCCCCCCACCCCCCCACUCCCGAGCGUGCCCCACCGCUGCCUUCUACAAAGCAGCAGGGUGAUCUCGUGUGCAAUUCAAACACCAAGCCUGCUUGCAGGUUCCGGCAAAACCCUGGCUGCCUCCCUGCGCCCCUUUCACUGCGUUGAUGGUUUACGGAUAACUGCAUCUCUACAAACCCUCUCUCCACGGUUGGCGGGAGGGAAUUACAGAUGGGGGGAGGGGAUUGGUGCGGUUCUGUGGAGGGCUCCGCACCCAACUGAGCAGUAAUACUCUCAUCCACUUGGACGCGGGUGCAUAAAUCGCCUUAACGUUUCGCCCUGAAAGGUGAGCCAAUUUCCAAAGUUACAGACCACGCAGUUGAAUUUCCAGUACUUUCCAACCUCGCCUAGGCGGGGGCAGGCA
rnacentral:lncRNA from 13 species